GAUGAACGCUGGCGGCGUGCCUAAUACAUGCAAGUCGAGCGAACGGACGAGAAGCUUGCUUUUCUGAUGUUAGCGGCGGACGGGUGAGUAACACGUGGAUAACCUACCUAUAAGACUGGGAUAACUUCGGGAAACCGGAGCUAAUACCGGAUAAUAUUUUGAACCGCAUGGUUCAAAAGUGAAAGACGGCUUUGCUGUCACUUAUAGAUGGAUCCGCGCUGCAUUAGCUAGUUGGUAAGGUAACGGCUUACCAAGGCAACGAUGCGUAGCCGACCUGAGAGGGUGAUCGGCCACACUGGAACUGAGACACGGUCCAGACUCCUACGGGAGGCAGCAGUAGGGAAUCUUCCGCAAUGGGCGAAAGCCUGACGGAGCAACGCCGCGUGAGUGAUGAAGGUCUUCGGAUCGUAAAACUCUGUUAUUAGGGAAGAACAGAUGUGUAAGUAACUGUGCACAUCUUGACGGUACCUAAUCAGAAAGCCACGGCUAACUACGUG
rnacentral:rRNA from 1 species